rnacentral:lncRNA from 1 species
AUGCCAAGGGUUCUAAUUCGGGUGUUUCCGGCCUCCCGCGGCGGCGCUCUGGCCAGUGCUUGGCUCGUGGGUGUUGCCGUCCCUCUGCUCGCCCUCCUGUUUGGGGGAAAAAACAGGGAUUUGGGAGCUCUGUGCCCAAGGCAGAACCCCCCUCGGGGGUUAUCUCCCGGCUGGCAGAACUCAAGCUCAGCCUGGAACCCCCCGGAUCACCCUGGGAAGCCUCCGUGGGUCGCGCUGGGACAGGCAGGGCGUGUUGAGACCCCGGUCAGAGGUUGGGGUGGUGGGAGCAGGCACGGAUCCCGCUCCUGGGAUCGAGGGGCGGUGGCUGAGCCCCAACAGAGAGUCCCAGAGUGUGGCUACCCCGUGGGGGCUGUGCUGGCCCUGGGAAGGUUUCACCAAGGCCUCAGGCUCCCUGGCACGCCGAGGGCAGCGUGGCGUGGGGAGGGGACAGUGCCCAGGGAUGCUGCCCCGGUGCAUGGUGGGAAAUUCCCUGUUGUCCCUCCAUCAUCUCCUUGCCCCUGCAACGGCUGCCACGGACCCUCCUUGGGGCUUCCCACUUUCAGCUUGGCGUGUCCAUCCCUCUCCUCACCUGUCCCCUCCCUCGCGACAUUCCCGUCAUCCCCGGGCACCCCCAGAGCUACCCGGCCACACCAGGACGCUGCAGACCCUCCCCUGGGGUCCCUCCCGGCUGCCACCUCCGUUCCAGCCCUUCUGGAUCCAUCAUUCCUGAGGAACGGAGGGAGGGGAACGGGAAGAGUUUGUCUUUCAGCACCUUCUCAUCGCAGGCAGGCGCGGGCUCUCCCUCGCCCCGAGCCCUGUCUGGGUCCCCUCCCUGUUCCCUGGCACCCACUGGGUGCAGCGAGCAGCAUCCCGGCGCCGCGGCCCCCCAAACCCUCCCCCCCUGGGCGAGCAGGGCUCGGGGGGGUCCCGCUGUGGCUUGACCCACGCUGGCGGUGGGAUGGGACCACCUGGCACGGCCGAGUGACCCCGGUGGCACGCGGUGCCCCGAGCCGUGCCCAGCAAGGGUUAAGCCCGGCGCCCGGCUCCCAGCGGGACCAGACCGCAAGGAAGCUGCUGAGCUGGAGGCAGCCCGUGGUCGGCUCUUCGUGGCGCUGCUGGGCUCCCGCGGGCCCUGGCCUGCCCUCACCCCUUCUCCCGUGCCCCCAGCCUGCCCGGCCCCCGCUGCCGAGCCGUGCCGAGCCGUGCCGGGCCAGCCGCGCCGAGGGAUGCGGUUUAUGUAAGGCGGGCACGUCCCGGGGACACACGCAGGUUACAUAA